rnacentral:rRNA from 1 species
UGGCUCAGGACGAACGCUGGCGGCGUGCCUAACACAUGCAAGUCGAACGGGGUGAAGCCCUUCGGGACUUCACUUAGUGGCGAACGGGUGAGUAACGCGUGAGGAACCUGCCUUUCAGUGGGGGACAACAGUUGGAAACGACUGCUAAUACCGCAUAACACUUUUUGGGGACAUCCCUAAAAAGUCAAAGCUUUAUGUGCUGAAAGAUGGACCCGCGGCGCAUUAGCUAGUUGGUGAGGUAAUGGCCCACCAAGGCGACGAUGCGUAGCCGACCUGAGAGGGUGAUCGGCCACAUUGGAACUGAGACACGGUCCAGACUCCUACGGGAGGCAGCAGUGGGGAAUAUUGCACAAUGGGGGAAACCCUGAUGCAGCAACGCCGCGUGAGUGAUGACGGUCUUCGGAUUGUAAAGCUCUGUCUUUAGGGACGAUAAUGACGGUACCUAAGGAGGAAGCCACGGCUAACUACGUG